GCUGAACUCAACCCGCGGGUAGGACGAGCUCGGACCAGCUGAACCUCUUGUUGGUUUUAUACCGAGUCGACGUCAUCCUGGAUUUAGUUCCUGACGCUUUGGGUCAGAAAACUACCAUGACAGUCCCUAGGUCCUUACACAACGAAGACCGAAUUCAGCCACUAUUUAAAGUUCAAGAGUAGCACUCAGAAGCGAUGCUUCCAGCUGCCCCCUGCGUGGGUGUCGCACGGCCGCCCGCUGGAGCCGCCGGAGGUGCAGCCAGUCCAUUCUGCGCGCAGGCUGUUGAGCGCUCUUCGAGAAGGUAGGCGACAGUGUGCGCGGAACGAAAGAGCCCCUGAGGUCCUGCGGCCUGGGCGCAAGCCCCUGGACUCCAAAGCCGUCUUUCUUCGGGGCUUUGCGCCAGCAACGACAGCCAUUCCAGGGGGAA